GUGGGGCCCGCGAACUCAGAGGGUCCCAGGGCGAGCCGCCGUCUCCAGUCCGCCACGCCUGCCUGUCCUUCCGAGUUCCAGUGGACAUUAGGGAAUUGCCCUCCUCCCUCAUCCUCCAGGACUGGGCGCUUCAGAACUUUCUCUCCCUCCUCCUCCCUCUCCCUUGUCAUUUAAAAACUUACAUUCUCUUCUUCAGGAACUGCUUUUGCAAUUCAGUUUUCGUAUCUGCAAAAUGAUAGGAAUAAAGCCAUCAGGUGAACAGAUACUACUAUCUCCAUUUAACAGAAGAGGAAACGAAACCUUACAGGAUUGUUGUGAUAUCACAUUAGAUUAUUUGUAAACAGCUUUCAAAAGGCUGCGAAAGAAUAAAAAAGAAUGUUGUUGCCUGCUGAGCCCUGGGGAACACUGUAGGUGAAUCAGGGUAUUUCAGGUCCCUGGGCUGCCUUGGGACAGGUGCUGUCACCAAACACCAUCAAUUGUUGAGUGUGAACCCUGGAAUGGGGUAAAGCUUACACUGAAGCCAGCGUUUCCACAUCCCAUAUGAUCUGGUGUUUAUGUUUUUCAUUUCCUUACCUCCUUGCCAUAUGCCUUACUGUUGCCUGUAAGAUUAAUAAAUCCCUUAAGAGUUGAUGUGGGGACUUAAGUUCCUUAAGGGCAGAAUUUUUUUUUUUUUAAGUUUUUAAUACUUUAGUGCUUAUGUAUUUGAACUAGUGGUUUUAAAAAAUAUACAACUGACACAUGCUGAUAUAUAAGGUAUAUAGUAAAGAAUAUAAGGAAUGUAAAACGAAAAGCCAAAUUCUCUCUUAUUCCACUACCAACCUCUACGAUCUGAAAGCAAUCAUUAUUAAUGGUGUCUUGUGUAUUCUUUCUGAAUUGUGUGUGUGUGUGUGUGUCUGUGGUGAAGCAUGUGGGCUCAAACCAACUGCAAGAGUCAGAAUUCUAGCUAGGAGUGUGGCCCCCAAGCUGUGUCAUCUUGGACCUGUUACUGAAUCUUUUGCUGACUUUUUUUCUCUCUUCUCCAUGACGGGAAUAGUAAUGGGAGUUACACAUAAGGGUGUUGUGGAUCAAUAUCCCCGCAGCUUGGGUGAGACACCACGUGGUUUUGCAUGGUUGGGAGAAUCUUGCAGAAGUGAGGCCGGGUCCUCUCCCUGUGUCCUGUCAGCUGGUGCAUGGAUACAGUAUGUCUCCUUACUGCUGCUGUGA
rnacentral:lncRNA from 1 species